CACACUAUCAUUAACUGAAUCCAUAGGUUAAUGAGGCGAACCGGGGGAACUGAAACAUCUAAGUACCCCGAGGAAAAGAAAUCAACCGAGAUUCCCCCAGUAGCGGCGAGCGAACGGGGAGCAGCCCAGAGCCUGAAUCAGUGUGUGUGUUAGUGGAAGCGUCUGGAAAGGCGCGCGAUACAGGGUGACAGCCCCGUACACAAAAAUGCACAUAUUGUGAGCUCGAUGAGUAGGGCGGGACACGUGGUAUCCUGUCUGAAUAUGGGGGGACCAUCCUCCAAGGCUAAAUACUCCUGACUGACCGAUAGUGAACCAGUACCGUGAGGGAAAGGCGAAAAGAACCCCGGCGAGGGGAGUGAAAAAGAACCUGAAACCGUGUACGUACAAGCAGUGGGAGCACGCUUAGGCGUGUGACUGCGUACCUUUUGUAUAAUGGGUCAGCGACUUAUAUUCUGUAGCAAGGUUAACCGAAUAGGGGAGCCGAAGGGAAACCGAGUCUUAACUGGGCGUUAAGUUGCAGGGUAUAGACCCGAAACCCGGUGAUCUAGCCAUGGGCAGGUUGAAGGUUGGGUAACACUAACUGGAGGACCGAACCGACUAAUGUUGAAAAAUUAGCGGAUGACUUGUGGCUGGGGGUGAAAGGCCAAUCAAACCGGGAGAUAGCUGGUUCUCCCCGAAAGCUAUUUAGGUAGCGCCUCGUGAAUUCAUCUCCGGGGGUAGAGCACUGUUUCGGCAAGGGGGUCAUCCCGACUUACCAACCCGAUGCAAACUGCGAAUACCGGAGAAUGUUAUCACGGGAGACACACGGCGGGUGCUAACGUCCGUCGUGAAGAGGGAAACAACCCAGACCGCCAGCUAAGGUCCCAAAGUCAUGGUUAAGUGGGAAACGAUGUGGGAAGGCCCAGACAGCCAGGAUGUUGGCUUAGAAGCAGCCAUCAUUUAAAGAAAGCGUAAUAGCUCACUGGUCGAGUCGGCCUGCGCGGAAGAUGUAACGGGGCUAAACCAUGCACCGAAGCUGCGGCAGCGACGCUUAUGCGUUGUUGGGUAGGGGAGCGUUCUGUAAGCCUGUGAAGGUGUGCUGUGAGGCAUGCUGGAGGUAUCAGAAGUGCGAAUGCUGACAUAAGUAACGAUAAAGCGGGUGAAAAGCCCGCUCGCCGGAAGACCAAGGGUUCCUGUCCAACGUUAAUCGGGGCAGGGUGAGUCGACCCCUAAGGCGAGGCCGAAAGGCGUAGUCGAUGGGAAACAGGUUAAUAUUCCUGUACUUGGUGUUACUGCGAAGGGGGGACGGAGAAGGCUAUGUUGGCCGGGCGACGGUUGUCCCGGUUUAAGCGUGUAGGCUGGUUUUCCAGGCAAAUCCGGAAAAUCAAGGCUGAGGCGUGAUGACGAGGCACUACGGUGCUGAAGCAACAAAUGCCCUGCUUCCAGGAAAAGCCUCUAAGCAUCAGGUAACAUCAAAUCGUACCCCAAACCGACACAGGUGGUCAGGUAGAGAAUACCAAGGCGCUUGAGAGAACUCGGGUGAAGGAACUAGGCAAAAUGGUGCCGUAACUUCGGGAGAAGGCACGCUGAUAUGUAGGUGAGGUCCCUCGCGGAUGGAGCUGAAAUCAGUCGAAGAUACCAGCUGGCUGCAACUGUUUAUUAAAAACACAGCACUGUGCAAACACGAAAGUGGACGUAUACGGUGUGACGCCUGCCCGGUGCCGGAAGGUUAAUUGAUGGGGUCAGCGCAAGCGAAGCUCUUGAUCGAAGCCCCGGUAAACGGCGGCCGUAACUAUAACGGUCCUAAGGUAGCGAAAUUCCUUGUCGGGUAAGUUCCGACCUGCACGAAUGGCGUAAUGAUGGCCAGGCUGUCUCCACCCGAGACUCAGUGAAAUUGAACUCGCUGUGAAGAUGCAGUGUACCCGCGGCAAGACGGAAAGACCCCGUGAACCUUUACUAUAGCUUGACACUGAACAUUGAGCCUUGAUGUGUAGGAUAGGUGGGAGGCUUUGAAGUGUGGACGCCAGUCUGCAUGGAGCCGACCUUGAAAUACCACCCUUUAAUGUUUGAUGUUCUAACGUUGACCCGUAAUCCGGGUUGCGGACAGUGUCUGGUGGGUAGUUUGACUGGGGCGGUCUCCUCCUAAAGAGUAACGGAGGAGCACGAAGGUUGGCUAAUCCUGGUCGGACAUCAGGAGGUUAGUGCAAUGGCAUAAGCCAGCUUGACUGCGAGCGUGACGGCGCGAGCAGGUGCGAAAGCAGGUCAUAGUGAUCCGGUGGUUCUGAAUGGAAGGGCCAUCGCUCAACGGAUAAAAGGUACUCCGGGGAUAACAGGCUGAUACCGCCCAAGAGUUCAUAUCGACGGCGGUGUUUGGCACCUCGAUGUCGGCUCAUCACAUCCUGGGGCUGAAGUAGGUCCCAAGGGUAUGGCUGUUCGCCAUUUAAAGUGGUACGCGAGCUGGGUUUAGAACGUCGUGAGACAGUUCGGUCCCUAUCUGCCGUGGGCGCUGGAGAACUGAGGGGGGCUGCUCCUAGUACGAGAGGACCGGAGUGGACGCAUCACUGGUGUUCGGGUUGUCAUGCCAAUGGCACUGCCCGGUAGCUAAAUGCGGAAGAGAUAAGUGCUGAAAGCAUCUAAGCACGAAACUUGCCCCGAGAUGAGUUCUCCCUGACCCUUUAAGGGUCCUGAAGGAACGUUGAAGACGACGACGUUGAUAGGCCGGGUGUGUAAGCGCAGCGAUGCGUUGAGCUAACCGGUACUAAUGAACCGUGAGGCUUAACCUU
rnacentral:rRNA from 1 species